AUGAAGGAUGCUCUUCUGCAGCCGCUGGCAGAUCUUCCUGUGUCGACCCGUCGUGAUCUGCUGAAGAAGCUCAGCGAGCUUGCUGAGGAUGGGGAUACUCUCUCUCUGCUUGAGCAAACACUGGAUCACUGCAGUGAUGGAGCAUCUGAGCGCGUUCAGUCUGAGGCUGUCUCUUCCUUCAUGGACCUUCUCGAUGUCUCAAACAUCUCCACUGCUGUGAAGGACGCCGUUCAGCUGUUGGUCAGCGUGUUGGACACUCUGCCAGACGAAGUGCCGCCACUUCUGACUCGCUGCAGUCCAGAUACUCUGAGAGUCCUCAACCAGCUGGUGGGUCCAUUCACUCAUUCAUCUACAUUCAUCUACAUGCUCCUCGCAACAGCUGCCAGUCUCAUCACACCUUAUCCUACAGACUCAGCACACUCAACAUGUGUAGUCUGACAUCUUAAAACAUCUUCUGUCAUGUUUUUAUGAAAACUCAAACUAAAACUAAGGUGAUCUACCCUCUCAGCAGCAUGUAUUCCUCCUGUGAGCCUUGUUCAUCACUGUGAAAACACACUGAUCAAAUGUAUCCACUGCUGAAAGUAGUCCCAACAGAGCCCCUGUUCAGCAACAGCCUUUUAACAUGUUUUACAGGGAUCGUUUUACAGACCCUGCUACAACUAACAGCCGCUUUGCCCACUGUCAGCAGCCUGUGGGCGGAGUCUUCCUCAUGUUUGAAUCUGAUUUGGGAACAGCUCUCUCUCUGUUUCUCCAGGUGGAUGGGCUGAAGGACGGUCAGGCCAACCUCCCAGAGUCCCUGCCCGUCCCCCUGCAGGAGGGAGAGGAGCUCCGCUGGGUGGCCGAGUUCAUCUGUUUGAACGAUCAGAAGCUGAAAGAGUUGAGUGACGGCUGGGACCGACCCGAGCUGCCCCCAGAGGUUCUGCUGGAGGUUCUGUGCCUCGCUGUGCAGGGACUCAGCCUGAUGCAGCCCACAACAAACCCUUAAUGUCAGCUGCUCUGAUCUUUGUUAAUGUGCUUUUACAGCAGCGUUCUGCAUCUUUGAACAUCUUUGCCUUUGUUUCCUGAACUUUCAUCUGUCAAAGACCAAAAAUGACAAGAAUAAUCUAAUAAAAUACAUAUAUUUUUUUUAAUAAAUAAAACUUUAUACUUUUAUGUUCGGCUCAUGGUUCUAAUAUUUUAUUAGUUCUUGCUGCACUCCUUUAUGUUCUGUCCCGUUUCCUCCUGUGUGCCCCUGACCCUGUCUCCAUGCUUGUUGACUGUUAGUUAUUUUUACAAUAGAACUACAGUUUUUACAAUUUUUACAAUAGAACUAAUCUCUUGAAAUAUCAUAUAUCAGAUUUUGUACUUGAGAGACAAGAAAAAGAAGUGACAGCAUGCAGAGAAGGAGGCUGAACAUUGUGCCCUCUGCUCCACACUGUUAGCCUUUGCAGUAAUUUCCAUAGC
rnacentral:lncRNA from 1 species